GAUGAACGCUGGCGGCGUGCCUAAUACAUGCAAGUCGAGCGAACAGACGAGAGUGCUUGCACUCUCUGACGUUAGCGGCGGACGGGUGAGUAACACGUGGGUAACCUACCUAUAAGACUGGGAUAACUUCGGGAAACCGGAGCUAAUACCGGAUAAUAUUUAGCUUCGCAUGAAGCAAUAGUGAAAGACGGUUCUGCUGUCACUUAUAGAUGGACCCGCGGUGUAUUAGCUAGUUGGUGAGGUAACGGCUCACCAAGGCAACGAUACAUAGCCGACCUGAGAGGGUGAUCGGCCACACUGGGACUGAGACACGGCCCAGACUCCUACGGGAGGCAGCAGUAGGGAAUCUUCCGCAAUGGACGAAAGUCUGACGGAGCAAUGCCGCGUGAGUGAAGAAGGUUUUCGGAUCGUAAAACUCUGUUGUAAGGGAAGAACAAGUACGUUAGUAACUGAACGUACCUUGACAGUACCUUACCAGAAAGCCACGGCUAACUACGUG
rnacentral:rRNA from 1 species